rnacentral:lncRNA from 1 species
CAUGUGGACAUUUUGUAGAGGUCGGACGUCUUCAUGUGGCUAUGAGCAAUCUGAAGGAGCACCUAUCCAAGUAUUGGAUUAGUAGAGAUCAUCAGCUUAUAGUUUGAUAAUGGUUCCUGAACUUGUUUGAUUGUUUUUGAUAGAUCUAAGGGUUUGAUCUAGAUUGCAGCAUCGAUUAGAUCGAUGUACUUUUUAUUUUCAGAUCUUAUGUGCA